UACGGAGGGUGCAAGCGUUAUCCGGAUUCACUGGGUUUAAAGGGUGCGUAGGUGGGUUGAUAAGUCAGUGGUGAAAUCCCCGAGCUUAACUUGGGAACUGCCAUUGAUACUAUUGAUCUUGAAUACCGUGGAGGUCAGCGGAAUAUGUCAUGUAGCGGUGAAAUGCUUAGAUAUGACAUAGAACACCAAUUGCGAAGGCAGCUGGCUACACAAAUAUUGACGCUGAGGCACGAAAGCGUGGGGAUCAAACAGG
rnacentral:rRNA from 1 species